rnacentral:rRNA from 1 species
GAUGAACGCUGGCGGUAUGCCUUACACAUGCAAGUCGAACGGAAAUUAGCUUCGGUUAAUUUUAGUGGCGGACGGGUGAGUAACACGUGAGAAUUCGCCUUUAGGAGGGGGAUAACGGAUGGAAACAUUCGCUAAAACCCCAUAUGCCCCUGGGUGAAACAGAGGAGAUAAGUAAUACUGAUUCACCUCUGCCUGAAGAGAAGCUCGCGGCUGAUUAGCUAGUUGGUAGGGUAAAGGCCUACCAAGGCGACGAUCAGUAGCUGGUCUGAGAGGACGAUCAGCCACACUGGAACUGAGACACGGUCCAGACUCCUACGGGAGGCAGCAGUGAGGAAUUUUCUGCAAUGGGCGAAAGCCUGACAGAGCAAUACCGCGUGAGGGAUGAAGACUUACUGAGUUGUAAACCUCGGU